UACGAAGGGGGGCUAGCGUUGUUCGGAAUUACUGGGCGUAAAGCGCACGUAGGCGGAUCGAUCAGUCAGGGGUGAAAUCCCAGAGCUCAACUCUGGAACUGCCUUUGAUACUGUCGAUCUGGAGUAUGGAAGAGGUGAGUGGAAUUCCGAGUGUAGAGGUGAAAUUCGUAGAUAUUCGCAAGAACACCAGUGGCGAAGGCGGCUCACUGGCCCGAUACUGACGCUGAGGUGCGAAAGCGUGGGGAGCAAACAGG
rnacentral:rRNA from 1 species